GAGCUGCCUUGAGGCCGCGGGACGAGGCGGUGGGAUGAGGGCCGCGGUCCGGCUGUGCCUGGGGUUGGGGACCUGAGGGAAGGUGGUCCCGCUCUCCACCCAGUCCUCCAGCCCUUUCCCCGCGCGGCCCAACGUCGGGGACGAGCCCGGACGUCGCACGGGAGUCGUGCAACUUGGCGGCGUCCACGGUGUGGACCAUCAGCAGCCCGGCCGACUUCUGCUGGGACGUGUCCACGAUGUCGAUGAGCAUGUUCUUCUUGUCGUCGCCUCUCCGGUCCCUGCCCAGACGACAGAUGUGAUGCCAUAAAUUGCCAACUUCUGGACAGAGGGAAGAGUGUACUUUGGGAGGGGAGCUGGUAGCUUUGUCACCUGCCUGUCACCAGUCACCCAGCCUGUGAACUGACUUCAACAAGAGACCCCCUGCCUC